CAUUCUGCCUGCCAGGAGCGCAUGGACGAUCCGCGCGUCUGCAGGCACGGGGCGGGGGAAGGAGGCGGGAGCGCCGGGAGAGGAGGGGGCGGAGUGGGGAGGGGGGAGACGGAAGAAACCGCGGAGGAAGGGGAGAGGAAGGGGAGGGAGCAAGGGGGCGAGCAGAGGGCGAAAGGGAAAAGAGAUGCAGGGAAGGAAGCCCGGGAAGAGGAAAAGGCAAGGAAAUAGCGGGAGAUGGGGCGGGGUCGAAGGAAAAGGGGCGGGGCAGGGAGAAUAUAAAUUAAAAAAUUUAAAUCAGUCAAAGGAAGGAUGGAAGCCCGGAGGCUCCAUCGAAGCGGGGACGUGCUGCGAUGCUGGGAUCUCGUCUAAGUCCCCGGCGGCCGAUCUGUGCUGAGGGCCGCACACACUCCCGGGCAGCGCCCUCACUACACUCCUCCUUCCAGCUCGCGGAGAGGCUGCGGGCUGCAGCUCCCAGCGAAGAAGGGGAGGGGGGAGGCGGGGAGCAAACAGGAGGAGGGGUGGAGUGUGCGCAAGGGGAGGGAGGUAGGGGAGAGAGUGUGUCUAUUUCUGGCUCGGGAGGGGGAGGUGUCUGUGAGCUGAGCCCUGGGGGCACAGAAAGGAUCCCACCAGUUUUUUUCCUUGCUUGCUGCAGAGAGGUGGGGUAUGUGGUUUCCUGCUGCAUCUGGGAAAAUGUAUCCGUGGAGGAGAUUUAGGGACUCAGGUAAAGGUAUUGAGAAAGGGUAUCUGUGGACACAGGACAGAGAGUUGCCCGGUGGGGUCUUGGGUAGAAACCGGCAGAGCCUGAGGGAAGUUCCCACAAACCACCUUCGGGUUUCCCCCUAGGAAAACUCUCUUGGUACCUUCAGUUCCUCUAGGGCACAGUUGCCCUCAUAAGCCCAGAAGGUAAGGGGCACAGUACGGGACAGGGUGGUUUAAACAGGGCUCAGGGUUGACAGGGAAGCGGGGCUGGGAUGUAAAAGGAAGGGGCUAACCCUUGGGAGCAGGAGUCUGAGUCCCCAUUCUACUUGAUCACAUGACCUUGUCAAAGUCAUUGAAGCCUUCUUGCUGUCUGUCGCUCCUACAGUGGUUAUAACACAGCUUCAUAGGUAAAGGGGCUUUGAAACCUAAGGACUCCAAAGAGACUUGGCAUUGGUCCCUCUGCAGAGCUGUAGAACCAAUGAAAAAGAUCCUGGAUAUGUCGGUCCCAUCCGAAUAGGAGCUCUCCAAGUGCCACACUAGCCCAGGGUAGGUGUUGAUGGUUAAAGGACUCUGAGGUCUAAAUGCUGGACAUCAGGUGCUGACCAGAGCCCAAGAUACUCUAACUUCCUCGGUCCCAGUUGAGAGUCUAUUAACCUUUCUAGGACAGGGACUAGAGCAGAGAGGCCAUGUCUAGCGCAGUACUGAGAACGGGAGUUAUUGGGCAGAGAGCUGUUUGGCGAGAGCUGUGGGCUUUCAGCUGGCCUCAGAGAGCCAAAGAGAGAUGGAGGGUCUGGCCUCGAGGGAAUACAAGGCAGACAACCCAAGACUUGGGGAAAUAACUUUGUCCCUGUGAAAAUGAAGUGUCGAGCACAUUUAUCUCAGGAAGGCAGGCAUGGGUAUGUGUUCUCCUCACAGGAAUGACAAGAGGUACUGCCUCAGGAAGAGAUUGGCCAGGAAGACAGUGUUCAGAGGCCCUGAGUCCAGAUCUUAGGAAACACAGAGGCAGAGUCAAGACUGUGAGUCCAUGGAGGAAACAAGCAAGUUGAAGCUGGUCAAAAAACACACAGAUCCUCAUGCUUCUACCUGAAAUAAGCUCCUAGUUCAAGCAAGAGAAAGAGCAUCUCUCAUCCCACAGACUAUUUGUAACAGUGUCACAAACAACUAGAUCUUGAGAUUCUCCUGCCUCAGUCCCCUGAGUGCUGGGGUUACAGACAAACCAUCGUUUUUAAAGUCCUCAUUCUUAUCCACCUGUCAUCUUGAAAUUUAGUCGAGAUUUCCCUGAUUCAAUCCCGUGGAAAUGUUGCUUUCUCUAAAAUUGCAAUUUAGAAACCAAAGGAUACCUAUGGGCUGAUUUACCAAGUUCUUGGUUGUUGUUGAUAGUUUUUCCCCCUGCAUGUAAAUUCAUCUCUGCCUUAGCUAAUGAAAUUGGCUAAUUACAGUCCUGACUGAACAACACUAGGUCCAUCCACCCACGUCUACUGCUGCAGCCAAAACGCCUGGCUUAACCUGAGCCCUUGUCUCUGGUGUCCAUAUCUGUAGUAAAACCUUCAGCAGUUUAUGAAACCCUAGUCCAUGUGCUGAUCUGUCUGUCCACCUGUGUUUCCUUUGCUCCGGAUGCCUACUGCCCCCGGGACCUGACCUUCCUUCCUCCAUGUUGUCUCACUCCCUUAUUCGAUUCCAUGUGUUAGCUUAGUUCUUCCUCUUCUCUGUAUCCUCUUUGUUCCUCUGCGACUUCUCUCAUGGGAUAUCAUAUUCCCCAAAUCUCAAGUCCCUUUUCUCCUUUCAAUAAACAGCCCCUGAAAUUCUGCUUCUCGUUAGAAGAAGACAGAGCAGAUAAAGGAAAGAUCACUCCUCAGACUUUUGGCUGAAAUCAAGUUGGUAUCUGUUCUUAUCAGAAGAGAGGCACCGCCCCUUCCUGCUGUCUAAGUCUGGAUCCUUCUCCCUCCCACUCACCUCCCAGCACAUCACCUGUCAGGUUCUGAGAUGUAAAAUACUAUCUAUGCACAUUGUCAUGAAUUAACUCACUGCCAGUCCUCCUCCUGUCUUGAAAGGGUCUUGCCAUGGCCAGGUGGUGGUCCCUUUAAACACUAUCUUGGCAUCUUGGAAUACUCCAAGGCUCCCUAAUACCACCUCUACCUCCAUCUCCCCCUUUUUUAUUCUUUUCACAUCCCCUGAGUUUCCCAACCAUUCUCUCCUGGAGUGCGAAUGCUCUGCUGCCGUGGCAACAGCCAUUCUGGCAUCCGUCGAUAAAGCCGAUAUGUACAGAGCCUUUCCUACAGCGAUUCCUCAAAAGAGGGGGUUCUGCCAUGUCAUACUAUCCCCGAGAUCACAACCCUGAGCCCCUCCUACUCAGUCAUUUCCCCACUUUGCUACCCUGCCAAAAUGCCAGGGCUCAAAUGGUUCAUUGCAUUGAGACCAACGAUCAUUAAUGGGCUGGGCAGACGGAGGAGGGUGCUGCUGAUGUCAGUAACCUUAUGUGAGGACUGGUUCCCGUCAGUUCCUGGGGAGGUGGGAAAAGAGGCUGGUUUGGAAUCAUCUGUAUCUUCAGUCCCUCGAUGUCCUAAAACAAGCUCGAUACUCCAUUUCUGCCAGUUUCUGUAGUGGAAAUGGACUGUGUAAUUUGACCAUAUUUGUUGACUAUUAUCUUGAAGCAAUUUGAGGAAUGAAGAUGUAGGCCUAGGGCCAGGGCCAGGCAUGCUGUGGGACUUGACGUUCUCACACCCCUGUGACUAGAAAUGCUGUAACCCAGGGUGAGGGGGCGAUGGUCUGAGGCUCUGCCUGUUGGGCUAAUGUUAGUGGAGCUGGAGGGAAGAGAGAAGAAGGUAGACACGAGAGCUAGACUGGUCCUGCCCUGAUGACCUUGAAAGGUGACCUUGGAAGAAGGGAGUGUGAGGGAGACAGGAGGGGGCAGAGAAGUCCACACUUUGCUCCCCACACAGCACAGGACAGAGUUCGGGGACAGGUAGUACUUGUUUCUGUGCCCACAGUCAGGAUCCAGAGAUCAAGGACUGAAAACGCAACCACGUGACUACAAGCCUAGCCUAUCCAUUCUGGGCUAGGGCUGGGGGUGCCAUCAACCCCAAGAGUGACAAGCUCUUUCUUUAAGGCUUUCUGGGCUCAUCCUCCUGUGAAGUGCCUGCUUGUCACUUCCCAGGAAGAUUCUGUAAAAUCUAUUGCUCCUCACUUCCUUCUACCAGGUCAUUUCUCUAUGUCACUCAGUCCCUCAGUGAGGACUCAGAAUGUGGGCAAGGCCAUGCUAGAGGCUGUGGAAACAGCUGAUGUUUAAACACCAAGUCUCUAGAAAGCCCCUCCCCAUUGCUCACGCUGGUUCAGGUCAGCUGGGCUAGCUGCUGGGGGAUUUAGUGGAUCACAAAACCAAAAACUCUUGUCCUUGUGGAGUUUAUAUUCAAAUGGGCAAGACAGCAAAUUAGCCAGAGAUACCAGCUACUUAAAAGCACUAAGGAGGGGCCAGCAAGAUAGUCCAGUGGAAAAGCGCUCCUGCCCCUAAGCCUGACAACCCGGGGUCCAUUCCCAGAAUCCACAUGACAGAACUGACUCCUGAAAGUUAUCGUCUGGCCUCCCACAGACACACAUAAAAUCAAUAUAAAAAAAUGCUAAGGAGAAAAAAAUGGAAAUAAGAAAUUCCUGAUAUGUUUCAAAGACAGCAAGGAAGAUAAAACCUCGGCCAGACAAGAAAGGGACGCUGCAGAAAGAGAGUGAGAGGUGUGCUAGGAGGCGGGGCAUGGGGCCUUCUAGGUCUUCAUAUAAGGACUUGUCAUUCGGAAUAACACUGCAGGCCAGGGAGAGACCUGGUUUCCCCUUGGAAAAGAUCACUUUGAGUCUUAGGUGGAGGCAAAUUGUUGGGGUCAUUGGUUGAAGCGGUGAAUCCAGCUGAAAGAUGAUGGUGGCGGGGAUGGCGGUCAUGAGAAGUGGUCAGCAAUGGUACACUUUGGAACCAUUAGGAUUUGCUCUUUGGCUACAUGUGGGUGUGUAGGAGAGAGAGGGAUCAAGAAUAUUUCCCCAAGGUUUUUGGCCAGUACAACUCUUGGAUAGGAAUCUCUCUCUCUCUCUCUCUCUCUCUCUCUCUCUCUCUCUCUCUCUCUCUCUCUCUCUCUCUCUCUCUCUCUCUCUGUUUAUUUUAUUUUUGUCCUGGAACUUGAUUUGUAGACCAGGCUGGCCUCAAACUCAGAGAUCCUCCUGUCUCUCUCUGUGGGUCCCCGGCCUCCCCGCCACCUCAAUGUGCUGGGAUUAAAGGCAUUCACCACUGUAGGCUUUCUUUUGCUGUUGUUACGACAGGCUCUCACCAGGCUAGCCUUGAACUUAUUAUCCUCAUGCCUUAGUCUUUUCUGAAUGCUGAAAUUACCCGCAUGCCAUCAAACCCGGCUCUCCUCAACCCCUGGUGAAGGAGAAUGCUUCUCCUUUAAGGAUGGCACCCCGACCCUCCCCACAGCUCACUGCAGCCUCUGUAAUGAUUUCCUCACAUCUGUGGCCAUCAUUCAUCAUGCGUUUAUUUGUGUUCCUCAAGAAUCCAUUUUUUGGUUGAACUUGUCCUCAAAGGCCAUCAAAGUCCUGUGCGCAUAGUGGGUUCUCAGGAAUAUUUGGUGAAUGACGGCUAAUGAAAUGAAUGAAUGCGUGACUCAGAACAGAUGUGUGGGGCCUGUAAACAGGGGUGACCUCUCAGUACCCUGUGGUGAGAGACAGCACAGCUGGAGUGUGGAGUGGAAGCCAGGCCUCUGGGAUGGCGGGGGUCCAGCAACAUCUUUUCUCACUUCUCUGUGGCCUUAGGACAGGAGGCUCUGUCUUUGUCCCCUUCGCGGGGAAAGCCAUAUCUUCAGGGAAUGACCUUGGGACAUCUAGCUAUGAGGCUACCUCAUGCCCCCAAACUUCUGCUGCGUUCAGAGGUAUGGGGGAGAUUUUCUGCACUUCUGAGAGAAAGGGGCAAGCGUGUCCGAGGUAUUCUCACAGCCCAGCCUGUCUGGCACACGCAUUAGUACUAAACUAGGACUAGAGUUCACCAUUUACUCCUGUGUGGACAAGAAAAUUCAAUAAUGGACACAGUGAUGUCACACAACACCCCAGCAUGCUUAUACCCCCAGAAAGUCCUCUUAGAUUGGCCUGCUGCCUGCCUACUAGACAAAAAUGAGGCUUGGCAAGCUGGAAGCUGGUAAUAGAACCAGGGUUCUAGACCUCAGCCAACCUCCAAUCUGCCCCUGCCCCAAUCCCAAGAGGACAGAAAUGUGGAUCAACCCUAAGCUGCAGCACACAUUCCUUAGAACUCCCGGCAUGGCCUUCCCCUCCUCUGAGCUCUGACAGGGCAGGGAUGGUACAGAAAGGAGCGGGGAGGCCUGGAGAAGAAAACCAAGUCAUUUCCGGUCACACCAGGAGACGGGAUCUGAAGCCAACUAGACAUCUCCUUGAGUCUAGGGAGGCACUGACCCUCUUCCAGGGGUCUGUAGAACCUGAGGUAACAGGGGUUGAGGGCUGUUCAAGAGAGCCUGCUCCAGAUCUGGUGUGUAAGGGCAGAGGACAGGCCCCUCCUCCAGCCAUAGGCUCCUCAGGAAUCCCAAGGCUAGAAUGUCUGGGGCCAGCAGAACCUAGCUCAGGGCUGGGCUGCUAUUAAUUGUUCUUGCCUGGGUGUUCUGGACCCCAUGCCUGAGCAUGGGACCUUUCUUCCUGGUGGCUAGUUCUCAGAGGGCUGUCCUGGAGGUGGGAGGUGUGGAUUCAGGAUCUGCAGGGGGAGGCCCUCCUCCCCUCAUAGCUACAGCUCUGUGAUCUGCAGGAAGAGGAUCUCUAACUUGGUGGUCUGGGUGGCCUUGCAGGUAAGGACCACCCCACCCCCUGGGGCCUGGCUGCCACACAGGCCUGUGCUGACCAGUACACAAGCCCUUCACAGCUCUGGCAUCACCUCCUGGCUCCCUCGCUUUCCUCCUUGCCUCUGUCCAGGUCUAACGCACGCCUGUACCUCCGCUCUGCCUGGCCUUUCUCUAUAUGUGUUCAGGUCCAACACGUCUUGCAAGGCCUCCUUGCUCAGCCUUCUUUGACAGUCCCACACAACUUUGUGCCUUUCCUACCUGCUGACUGUAGUCAAGGGCUAUGCAGUCAUAUUCUGCUUACUUGCAUCCCGGGGCCAGACCCUCUUCCCCCACUGAAUUGAAAGCCUCCUACGUAAGGCAGACGGUGAUAACGUACUGAGGCUUGCUGAACUGAGGACAGGUGAUCCUACAGGAACUGGGUACCAGGGGCCCUCUUACACACAUUAUGUACCUUAUUUCAUAAACCCUAUGAGUCAGGAAGUACCAUUGUCUUCAUUUAAUGGAGAAAGAAACUUGCCCAAAACCAUCCUGGGGGUACCCGAGAUAGUUAGACUUUGAAUGCCAGUCGGUUAGGGUCCUACAACCUUCCACAAUGUCCUUCAGCCACCUGCAGCUGUAGCUGAUUUGCUUCAUGCUGCAUACUGUUCCAAGCAGCAUGGAGCCCUUUUAACAUGAAAUCCCAUGGUCCUAUUGAUGAGAUCCUGUAACCCUACACUUGCUGCCCCAGCGAUUAGAGUGGAUCUAGGCUCACAGUCACAGUAAGGCUGGCCCACUGAAUCCAGGGAGAGGAGAGAGAGCGGGUGGGCGGGGGAGGGGGGGGAUGGACCAUCCUGUGGAUAGAGGAAGUGACGUACAGUACAGCUAGUCUCUUUCUUGCCUCAGCUUCAUGAGUUCUGUCCUUCUCAAUUCCAGUGACCCUAACAACCUCCACAAGCUUGAGAUUAGGGUUUACCCUAAUCUCACAUCUUGGAGGUCCUGGGUUCUCUUCUGGACUUGCUACAUGGCAUUAGAUGCCUGUUUUCUCUGCACCUCCACUGGUCCUGUAAAUUAGGUAGGCGAGAGGGUAUGGAAUCUCCACUUCCCCUGCUCUUAAGACUUCCAGCGGGGAAAAGCAGGAAGAAAUACCUAAUCUAGGGCACUCUUUCUGAAAUUGUACUCAUUGAAAACCACAUCCCCUUGCUUCUCUGGUCAACAUGAAGUCCAGAUGUUUCCACAUGUAUAUUAUGUGCCCUAUAUAUUACUGUAGCAACUGUCCCAUACACACAGAUACAAUGGUUCUUGCACACUGAGCCUCAGGUGAGCUCUGCAUUGCCUAGAUUACACGGUCCAUAGACUAAGACCAGCCUAGAUUGGUUGUCGUGGCAACUAUGGGCAUGAGAUAGGAAACUUCAGGCAAGCAAAGGGAGAGGAGAGAGAGAGAGAGAGACAGAGACAGAGAGACAGACAGAGACAGAGAGGGAGAGAGAGAGAGAGAGAGAGAGAGAGAGAGAGAGAGAGAGAGAGAGACUACACGUUCACUAUGAACAGGCAAACUACUUGCCAUGUACCCUUUUUUUAUGGUCUAACCCAGAGUCAAAGCAGACACAUUCCGUGUCUCACACUGCUGAAUCACAAGGUUACAUGGGACCUCUGAGAUAGUCUUAUACAACAUUUUCCCUCAGGAAAUAACUGACCUAUUUGUAAUAAGCCCUAUUGCCUCACUGAAGGCCAAGUAAACCCCCAAACAGUGAAAACACAAGGCCCACAGCUGAGGUUGUCUUGCCAACCCAACUGAUGACAUCCUACCACAGAAAUAACUUUGUGAUCUGUAUCCACAGACCAGAUUUAGGAGGUCAGUAGACCAAGUCACCAAAUAUCGGCCACAUGCCCAGAUGUUGGCCAUUUUUCGCUGAGACAUAAUGUCCAUCAGUUUCAUAAGGAAGUUCAGGAGCUUCAAACAGUUAAAGAUAACUGUGUGAAUAAAAAAAAAAAACUGCAACCUGCCUUAACAAGACAUGGCCUAGAGACACCUGAGCAAGCACUGUCUGAAGAGAAGACACUCUCACUCUGUGGCUGCUCUCACUGACACCUCCGAGCUUUAUUAGAGUUUUUGUUAGGUUUCUCAAUAAGACACAGCAUUCAACAGAGGGACUCAUAUUUCAAUUAUUUUUAACCGGUAUCACUGGCAAUUACUUGGCACAGGAAAAAAGCUCUGCAAAUCCUAGAAAUAGUUCUCGGUGCAGUGGGUGGGGCUUUCAGAGCCGAGAUGAGAACUUCACCUUCUCAGAGUCCUGUUUUAUCCCCGGGUAGCCUGCUGCUUCCUCCUGCCUCCACAUGAACCCAGCCUCUACAGCAGGAAGGAUGCAGUGAGCUCACAGCAUCCUGCUCCUGGCUGGACCUGUUUAGUAUGGCGUCUCAGGCUCCACAUUCCCUGCUCCAGCUUCCACGGAGGCUGAGUUCUUCUUGGAAGUUCCCUUAGCUCUUUGACCCCCCGUUUACACUGCAGAACAUCCUCUUUUUGUAUCAGUGAAAUCCUUAAAAUAAAGUACAGCCUGGUGUGGUGGCUUGUGUCUUUUAAUUCCAACACUUGGGAGUCAGAGGCAGGCAGGUCUCUUGUGAGUUCCAGGACAGCCUGGUCUAUCUACAUAGCAAGUUCCAGGCUAGCCACUGCUACAUAUUGAGAUCCUGUCUCAAAACAAAAACAAACAAACAAAAAACAAAACAAACAAAAAAACAAAACAGAAGGUAUAGUCAGCUAUUUCUUGACUUUUUCCUGUUCCCAGGGCUUUGCCUGCUCUGGGAUGAGAGACAUGGAACUCACUGAUCCUACCUUAGUUUCCUCUGACGUCUGGGACUCCUGCUCCCAAGGGUCGCACACAGGAUGGAAAACAGUGCCUACUGUCCGUGACUCCUGUGUCUGUUGCCUUACUCUUCAGGUGCUUGUCCUGAAGUGCCUUCUGUGGGAGUCAUGAGGCUGGAGCUCUGCCUCUCAUCUCUGGGACAGGACACACAAGCCAGAGCUGAAGCAUCUCCAGGAUGCUCUGUGGACCCUGUACUGCUGUGUGCUGUAGGCUAUGUGCUGAACAGCUCCCAACUACAUCAUGAACCCCACAGGGACGGAAGCUUUUGCCUAUUUUGCUCAAACUUCUAAAAUGUACCUGGCACAUAGCAAAUGUUUAAUUAAAGGGUUGAUGUUGA